UCCGUAGGGGGAACCUGCGGAGGGAUCAUUACUGAGUUUACGCUCUACAACCCUUUGUGAACAUACCUAUAACUGUUGCUUCGGCGGGUAGGGUCUCCGUGACCCUCCCGGCCUCCCGCCCCCGGGCGGGUCGGCGCCCGCCGGAGGAUAACCAAACUCUGAUUUAACGACGUUUCUUCUGAGUGGUACAAGCAAAUAAUCAAAACUUUUAACAACGGAUCUCUUGGUUCUGGCAUCGAUGAAGAACGCAGCGAAAUGCGAUAAGUAAUGUGAAUUGCAGAAUUCAGUGAAUCAUCGAAUCUUUGAACGCACAUUGCGCCCGCCAGCAUUCUGGCGGGCAUGCCUGUUCGAGCGUCAUUUCAACCCUCAAGCUCUGCUUGGUGUUGGGGCCCUACAGCUGAUGUAGGCCCUCAAAGGUAGUGGCGGACCCUCCCGGAGCCUCCUUUGCGUAGUAACUUUACGUCUCGCACUGGGAUCCGGAGGGACUCUUGCCGUAAAACCCCCAAUUCUCCAAAGGUUGACCUCGGAUCAGGUAGGAAUACCCGCUGAACUUAAGCAUAUCAAUAAGCGGAGGAA
rnacentral:rRNA from 1 species